CCAAAACAAGAAAUGGCGGCAAGCUUUCUCAGUGUACUUUUUGUUGUGGGGCUUCCCAGUGUACUUUUUGUUGUAGGGCUUCCCAAGAGCAUGUUAUUUAUUUCCCCAUCAUCAUCGUCAUCCCCCUUUAUUCGCUGUCGUCCCUUUUGUUUAGAUCACCUUCUUCCUCGCAAUGGAGGUCGUUUAUUGAUCGGAGGCCUCUGGAUGAAGAGGAGGCGGGGCAGAGGUCGACGAGGAAUUAGCGUGAAACGGGUACAUUCUGUUGAACGACUCUGUUUUGGAAGGUGGAUCGAGGUUCGUCAUUUCCGUUCCCUGGUGGUAUCCCAUCGUACGUUCUAAUCGGUGCGGAAGAGGAAGAUGAGUGGACAAGGCCGUGAUUCGUUCGGGCGUUUUGGGCUCCCAAGAUCCCAUCAUCUAUCGUCUCCCCCAUCAUCCAUCGUCAGCCCCUCUAUUGGCUGUCGUCCUUUUUGUCUAGAUCACAGUCUUCCAAUCUUCCUCGCAAUGGAGGUCGUUUCUUGAUCGGGGGCCUCUGGAUGAAGAGGAGGCGGGGGCAGAGGUCGACGAGGAAUUAGCGUGAAACGGGCACAUUCUGUGGAACGCCUCUGUUUUGGAAAGUGGUUCGAGGUUUGUCAUUUCCGUUCCCUGGUGGUAUCCCAUCGUACGCUCUAAUUGGCGUGGAAGAGGAAGAUGAGUGGACAAGGCCGUGAUUUGUUCGGGGUUUUGAUAUAGCUAACACUUUCUAUCUCUCUCUCUACUAUAUGAAGAUAGUUACAUUCGUAAAGAACGAACAACUCAGCUUACAAUGCUUUGCCGGACUAACAAGGCACGAUGGACUAUUGUGACGUGAGGGGGGCAAGGCCGCAAGGGUAGAUAUUUUGAGUCUUGAAUAAUUCAUUAAGGGCUUCAGAGGCAACUGAUACAAGAGCUAGCAUGAGGAGAUGUUGAUUUUAUCUCCUCUGGAAAUUCAGUUUUGACAUAAAAUAAGUAAAUAAAACGGCAAAGACAACAGGUGCAUGUUUGAUUAAUGACAAGUCGGAGAGUCAAUGCAACUGUGCAACAGAAGAAGAUUUAAGGCAUAAGUACCACCUCUUGUGGCGUGCUCAUGAUAAUAAGAGGACACCAAGAAUCACAGAGGUGAUGGUUAUAUAUGUCAAACGGACCAAAUUAUAUGAAGGACUUCGCCAAUAUGACAGGUUUUUGGAUCCCAAUGUCAAAAAAGGAUGUCAUUCUUGAGUCCCAGCCGAAGGAGCAGAAAGGAAAUUGGUGCUAACUGGUCCAAUUCAGUCAAUCAAUUAUAAUUGCCCUGAAGUCAUAACAUGAUAUAUCAAGGAACUGGGUGCCAUGGUCAUUACAUUUAACUUGGCUAAGAACAGAAGAAGCUUUGCCCAGUUCUCCUACGAAAUUGCAGAUGACUGUUCUUCCAGUGCGAACCACAUUUUUCACUGCACGCAUGACAAUUGCUGCUGCCCUGGCAUCCAGACCAGACGUGGGCUCAUCCAAGAAAAUUAUUGAUGGAUUUGCAACAAGCUCAACUGCAAUUGUUAAGCGCUUGCGUUGCUCUGUUGAGAGACCACUGACACCUGAUUCCAGAUGGAGCCCGACUUUUUAUUUUCUGGUAAUGAAGGGGAUACAUUCACAAGCUCAACUGUCUAACCAUAACUGACCCUCGUGCCUUUAUUUUAUAUUUUUGUUUUCCGGAAAAGAAACAGUGAAUUCCUAGCAGACUCCAGUAAGGAUGGAAAUUGUCUUUGGCUUUUGAGGCCGAAAAGGUUGCCAGUUGUCCUAUGUAAGCAGUUGAUUGCUUCAGACUCAUAGCAGUCAUAGAUGCUGAAUACUUGAAUUAAAUGAAGGUAUAUAUAGCUGUCUA